rnacentral:rRNA from 1 species
AGGCUAAUCCCCCCAGGGUCAGUCGGGAGCUAAGGCGAGGCCGACAGGCGUAGCCGAUGCACAACAGGCGGACAUUCCUGUACCACCGCGGAGCGUUACUACGACGGGGUGACGGAGAAGGGUAGCCGGGCGGGGUUCUGGACGUCCCCGUGAAAGCGCGUAGGCCGCAGGGCAGGCAAAUCCGCCCUGCAGCAGGCCGAGACGUUAGACGAAGCUUCAUGUGAAGCCGGCGAGCCCAUGCUUCCGAGAAAAACCUCUAAGGAGCGAGGCGGUGCCCGUACCAAAACCGACACAGGUAGGCGGGUAGAGCAUACCAAGGCGAUCGGGAGAACCAUGGUUAAGGAACUCGGCAUACUGACUCCGUAACUUCGGGAGAAGGAGUGCCCCCGCCUGUGAGGUCCCACGCGGACGGAGCGGGAGGGGGUCGCAGCGAAACGGCCCAAGCGACUGUUUACCAAAAACACAGGACUCUGCAAAGCCGCAAGGCGACGUAUAGGGUCUGACGCCUGCCCGGUGCUGGAAGGUUACGCGGAUGAGUUAGCGCAAGCGAAGCCCUGAAGCCAAGCCCCAGUAAACGGCGGCCGUAACUAUAACGGUCCUAAGGUAGCGAAAUUCCUUGUCGGGUAAGUUCCGACCUGCACGAAUGGCGUAACGACUUGGGCGCUGUCUCAACCAUGGACCCGGUGAAAUUGUAUUAUUCGUGAAGAUGCGAAUUACCUGCGGAAGGACGGAAAGACCCCGUGAACCUUUACUGCAGCUUGGCAUUGGCUGUUGGUGCGGUGCGUAGAGGAUAGGCAGGAGCCUGCGAACCGGGAACGCCAGUUCCCGGGGAGGCGCCCUUGGAAUACUGCCCUCACCGCAUCGGCAGCCUAACGCGCCGCCCUCAUCGGGGGCGCGGACCGUGCCAGGUGGGUAGUUUGACUGGGGCGGUCGCCUCCUAAACUGUAACGGAGGCGUGCGAAGGUUCGCUCAGGGCGGUUGGCAAUCGCCCGCAGAGCACAAGAGUACAAGCGAGCCUGACUGCGAGACCAACAAGUCGAGCAGAGACGAAAGUCGGUUCUAGUGAUCCGGCGGCCCAGCGUGGAAUGGCCGUCGCUCAACGGAUAAAAGGUACUCCGGGGAUAACAGGCUGAUCUUGCCCAAGAGUCCACAUCGACGGCAAGGUUUGGCACCUCGAUGUCGGCUCAUCGCAUCCUGGGGCUGGAGCAGGUCCCAAGGGUACGGCUGUUCGCCGUUUAAAGCGGUACGCGAGCUGGGUUCAGAACGUCGUGAGACAGUUCGGUCCCUAUC